rnacentral:sRNA from 1 species
UUUUCCCCUGCUGGGGGCCGAGGCCCGGCCGGGAGCAGAGUCCGGCUGCCUGGAGCGGGUGGCGCGUGUCUGCAGCUGCUCCGGGUAGCCCGCUAGGCGCGCCGUCCCCAGCCCCGCCGCCGGCCCUCGGUACGCCCGGCCGCCUGCACCCCCAGGAGCAGCUGCAGUGAAUUAAACACAGAAGUGGAGCUGGGGGACUGAUUAGAAGCCUCAUUCAGUGCACCUGGGCCCCAGCAGGCCCAGCCAGGCGUGGAGGAAGAGGCAUUGAGGACUUUCCUUACCUGUUUUUCCAGCUCACCCACUGCCAGCAGAGCAUGUCACGUGCUCCCGCCUGAGCCUCUGGCCGCAGGAAUCAGGUGACCCCAGGCAGCGGGCCAGGCUGCAGGGGCGGGAUCUGCUCCGUCACCCAGGCUGGAGUGCA